ACUCCUACGGGAGGCAGCAGUGGGGAAUAUUGCACAAUGGGCGCAAGCCUGAUGCAGCAACGCCGCGUGAGCGAUGAAGGCCUUCGGUCGUAAAGCUCUGUCCUCAAGGAAGAAUAAAUGACGGUACUUGAGGAGGAAGCCCGGCUAACUACGUGCCAGCAGCCGCGGUAAUACGUAGGGGGCAAGCGUUAUCCGGAAUCACUGGGCGUAAAGGGGUGCGUAGGCGGUUUUCAAGUCAGAAGUGAAAGGCUAUGGCUCAACCAUAGUAAGCUUUUGAAACUGUUAAACUUGAGUGCAGGAGAGGAAAGUGGAAUUCCUAGUGUAGAGGUGAAAUUUGUAGAUAUUAGGAGGAACACCAGUGGCGAAGGCGACUUUCUGGACUGUAACUGACGCUGAGGCACGAAAGCGUGGGGAGCAAACAGGAUUAGAUACCCUGGUAGCACAGAG
rnacentral:rRNA from 1 species